AACGUAGGUCACAAGCGUUGUCCGGAAUUACUGGGUGUAAAGGGAGCGCAGGCGGGAAGACAAGUUGGAAGUGAAAUCUAUGGGCUCAACCCAUAAACUGCUUUCAAAACUGUUUUUCUUGAGUAGUGCAGAGGUAGGCGGAAUUCCCGGUGUAGCGGUGGAAUGCGUAGAUAUCGGGAGGAACACCAGUGGCGAAGGCGGCCUACUGGGCACCAACUGACGCUGAGGCUCGAAAGUGUGGGUAGCAAACAGGAUUAGAUACCCGAUCCGGCUGACUGACU
rnacentral:rRNA from 1 species